UGCCAGACUCCUACGGGAGGCAGCAGUGGGGAAUAUUGCACAAUGGGGGAAACCCUGAUGCAGCGACGCCGCGUGAGCGAUGAAGUAUUUCGGUAUGUAAAGCUCUCUCAGCAGGGAAGAAGAUGACGGUACCUGACUAAGAAGCCCCGGCUAACUACGUGCCAGCAGCCGCGGUAAUACGUAGGGGGCAAGCGUUAUCCGGAUUUACUGGGUGUAAAGGGAGCGUAGACGGCGAUGCAAGCCAGAUGUGAAAGCCCGGGGCUCAACCCCGGGACUGCAUUUGGAACUGUGUGGCUGGAGUGUCGGAGAGGCAGGCGGAAUUCCUAGUGUAGCGGUGAAAUGCGUAGAUAUUAGGAGGAACACCAGUGGCGAAGGCGGCCUGCUGGACGAUGACUGACGUUGAGGCUCGAAAGCGUGGGGAGCAAACAGGAUUAGAUACCCCAGUAUC
rnacentral:rRNA from 1 species